rnacentral:pre_miRNA from 1 species
UAGGGUGAUCAACCGUCCCAGUUUGCCUGGGACUGUCCUGGUUUUAGUACCCAUUGUCCCUCACCCUGGGAAACCCUGAGUCCUGGGUAAACAGGGACAGUUAGUCACCCUAUGAUUAC